rnacentral:tRNA from 1 species
GGUCCCAUAGUAUAGUGGUUAGUACACUGGACUUUGAAUCCAGUAACCUGGGUUCAAAUCCCGGUGGGACCU